rnacentral:sRNA from 1 species
GCGAGGGAGAUCUGGCCGCAACGACCUUCACUCCAUUGAUUGCCAGAGUUGGUUCGGCUGAUCUACUGGCUGAGGGGGGUCCCCUUCCUUCCCUGUUGCUCCUUGUAGGUCUCUCCCACGCUAGGUGGAAAAGGACGGUCAUCUUGAUCUUCNGUCAAGGGUACAUGGGGAAGGGAGCUGGUCUCCUCAGACAGCACAGCUGGCCAGUCUCAGAAGUAGCACCGCCUGCUCCCUUU